rnacentral:rRNA from 1 species
UGAUUUAGCGGCGGACGGGUGAGUAAUGCCUAGGAAUCUGCCUGGUAGUGGGGGAUAACGUUCCGAAAGGAACGCUAAUACCGCAUACGUCCUACGGGAGAAAGCAGGGGACCUUCGGGCCUUGCGCUAUCAGAUGAGCCUAGGUCGGAUUAGCUAGUUGGUGAGGUAAUGGCUCACCAAGGCGACGAUCCGUAACUGGUCUGAGAGGAUGAUCAGUCACACUGGAACUGAGACACGGUCCAGACUCCUGCGGGAGGCAGCAGUGGGGAAUAUUGGACAAUGGGCGAAAGCCUGACCCAGCCAUGCCGCGUGUGUGAAGAAGGUCUUCGGAUUGUAAAGCACUUUAAGUUGGGAGGAAGGGCAGUAAGCUAAUACCUUGCUGUUUUGACGUUACCGACAG